UCUAAUUUUACGUUGGACUUCUAUGUAAAUAGGAGGGAUGUCACGAAUAUUCGCAUUUGUAUAUACGAGUAUUCACAUCAUUUCAUACAUUCGUAUCGAUAUUCGCAUCAAAUAAAGCGAAUGCGAAUGAGUUUAAGGAGCGUAGUGUGAUACUGAACGAUAGGCAAUUGUGUGGUCAUGCACGGUCAUUGUUUCGCAUUUAUUAGAUUUACCGACAUUUUACUGAAUGAUGGCGAUUAUAGGCGCCGAUGGUCGUUCGCAGACACGUAUACUCUCUACAGAAUCGUGCGUGCCAGUCAUUGUGAGACAAAACCGUAAUUAAAAAAUUGCAACAACAUGGGAGUUAACAACGAAGGUAUUAUUAUAUGUACUUGCUAUCAGGCGACCAGUCUGCUUUCUAGAGACGUCUACGAGUAGGUAUUAGCUUAUAACGACAGUAUUACUAUUUACGCUUCGUCGGCGGCUAGGCACCAAGCUCGAUUCUCUGCCAUCCUCUCCAAGUGACCGAACCAGCGAAGUCGUGCGGCUAUAAUCCCGCCAAUUAUGUUGGGCGCCGUAACUAGCUUCUCUGGGUCCCUAUUUUUCCUAUGCCUUCAACUUCUAUCUUCUUCUCUGAUAGGUUCCACAAGCAAUAAAAUCAAUAGCAAAACCUGAAUCAUUUGAAACCGCCUUAAAUAAUUAUUUAUUAGAUAAAAAGUUAUUAUUCUUUGCAGGAGUUUUUUGAAGAUACCUUUCCGACAAAAUAGAAUACUAGUUUUUUUUAAAGGUUUAUUUUUACCUAUAUAGCUGUGCAAUGUAAUUAAUAAGAUUAGUUUUAAGUAUAAGUACUUAUAGUAUAAGAAUAAAUUGCUGUGCCCUUACAGGGUCUGUAUUCAAUGUAAUAUAUGAGCAAUAAAGAUGU